AGACUCCUGGCUAGCAGGACUCAGCCCCUCCCCUUCAACUUUACUCAGGACCUGGUCUCCCCUCCUUAAGGUCUCUGGAGCCCAACGCACACUUCAGCCCACUCUCACAGGCAUUCUCUCUGUCCACAAAAUAUCACCGAAGAGUCUUCUGUGAGUGCAGCAUGGUGUGAACACUGGGAGUACAAGGAGAAAUAAGACACAGUUGCUGUGCUGGAGAAGCUUGUGCCCAGUGGUGGUGAUACUGCCGGAGAGACAAAGUCUCACUAUGUUGCUCAGGCUGGUCUUGAACUCCUGGCCUCAAGCGAUCCUCCCACCUUAGCCUCCCAAAGAGUUGGGAUUAUAGACAUGAGCCACUGCACCUGGCCGACCUUGGGCAAGUUCUUAAACCCUUCAAAGCCUCAUUUUUCUCCAAUCAUAAAAGGGAAAGAUGGUAAUAUUUUCCCCUCCAAAUUCUUGUCGGAUGCCCUCACAGAAUUGAGAUUAUGUACGUAAAACACCAGGUGCCUAACCCGGCACAGAGCAGGAGGGCUAAGCGUGACAUCCAGCACGUGGUCAGUGGAAUCCAGUAUUCCUACCCACCUCUCUAGUCUCCCCUCCACCCCUCUCCCUUUCAGAGGCACCAAGCUGCUUGUGGUCUUGUCUAUUCCCACUCCCUGCCUGACUGAACAUUUUCUCCACCUCCUGAUCAUCAGCAGCAGAAACUGGCUGCUCUUCCUCCUGGGUAGACAGCCAGACUGUAUUUCCCAGCUGCCCCUGCAGUGAGAUGUGGCCAUCGGAGCCAGCAUUGGCCAAUGGACUCUGCAUGGGAGUGACGCAUGCUGCCUCCAGGCUUGUCCCUAAAACCUCCCACGUGUCCUCCGCCUGCUCUUCCCACUUCCAAGGAGCACGGCAAUUGUGGAAGACCCAGAUUAGUGAUGGCAGAACCAUAGAUGGGAGGAACCUGGGUCCCUGACUUAAAGUAUCAUGGAUUUGGAUGUUCCCUUAGUGAGAAAUAAACUUCCAUUGUGUUUAAGCCUUUAUUUGUU
rnacentral:lncRNA from 1 species